rnacentral:rRNA from 1 species
AACGAACGCUGGCGGCAGGCUUAACACAUGCAAGUCGAGCGCCCCGCAAGGGGAGCGGCAGACGGGUGAGUAACGCGUGGGAAUCUACGCAUCUCUACGGAAUAACGCAUGGAAACGUGUGCUAAUACGGUAUACGUCCUUCGGGAGAAAGAUUUAUCGGAGAUGGAUGAGCCCGCGUUGGAUUAGCUAGUGGGUGGGGUAAAGGCCUACCAAGGCGACGAUCCAUAGCAGGUCUGAGAGGAUGAUCAGCCACACUGGGACUGAGACACGGCCCAGGCUCCUACGUGAGGCAGGAGUGGGGAAUAGUGGACAAGGGGCGCAGUCCUGAGCCAGCCAUGCCGCGUGAGUGAUGAAGGCCCUAGGUUUGUAAAGCUCUGUCGCCGGUGAAGAUGAUGACGGUAACCGGGGAAGAAGCCCCGGCUAAGUUCGUGCCAGCCGCCGCGGUAAAAC